UACGGGGGGGGCAAGCGUUGUUCGGAAUUACUGGGCAUAAAGGGCUCGUAGGCGGCCAACUAAGUCAGACGUGAAAUCCCUCGGCUUAACCGGGGAACUGCGUCUGAUACUGGAUGGCUUGAAUCCGGGAGAGGGAUGCGGAAUUCCAGGUGUAGCGGUGAAAUGCGUAGAUAUCUGGAGGAACACCGGUGGCGAAGGCGGCAUUCUGGACCAUAACUGACACUGAGAGACGAAAGCCAGGGGAGCAAACGGG
rnacentral:rRNA from 1 species